UUUUUUGGUUGUUGUUUAUUUAUUUUUUAGUUGUUGAUGGACCUUUAUUUUAUUCAUUUAUCUAUAUGUGGUGCCGAGAAUCAAACACAGUGCCUCACGCAUGCAAGACAAGCACUUGACCAUUGAGCCACAACCCCAGCCCUCUUUCAGGUUUUGCCAUAAAUAUUCACAUACAAGUUUUUGUGUGGACAUAUGGUUUCAAUCCUCACAAUUUGGUUUUUACGCAAAACAUUAGCAUUAUUUGUUAAUCCCUCUCCCUUUAUACUGGCUUCCUGGGCAAGCACUCUACCACUGAGACAGUCUCACUCACUAAGUUGCCCAAGCUGGCCUCCAACUUUUGAUCUUCCUGUGUCAGCCUCCCAGUGCUGGGGUUGAGCCCAGGGCCUCCUGCAUGCUAGGCAAGCACUCUACAAGGAGCUGGAAUUACAGGUGUGUCCCACCAGGUACGGCAAACAUGACUUAUUCUAAAAUAAUUUUGGCCUAAAUCGAAUUUAACCUUCCAUAGCUGAAAAGACUCAAAAGCCUCCCCUUUAAGAAACAACUGGAAAAAAAAAAUGUGCUCAUGAAGGCAGCAGUGGGUUCACUCACCAACUGCAACUAUGUGAACGAGGGGGAAAUGGAUUGUGGAGCAAGGACCACCCACUCUGCCUUCAAGGAAUGUUUAUUGCAUCCUGGAUUGAGUCAGACCUUAGCAGAGAUUGAGGUCCAGUUCCCCUUAAGGUGGAACCUCCUCUGGCCCUUGUAGGUCCUCCCAGUGAUUCCAGAGUUGGCCCUCAUCUGUCCCCAAAGCAGACUUCCCAGCUCAGUGAUGGCCAAUCAGUUCAGCGGCUUAGGCCACAAACCUGGAGGUGACACUCUCCUCUCUUUUCUUUCUCUCGUAUUCCAAUCCAAUAAGUCCUCUUGGCUCCAUCUUUGAGAUGAAUCUAGGAUCUGACCCCUGGUGCAAGCCUCUGUCAUCUUCUCCUACAUUAGACAACAGUCUCUUUGCUGGUCUCCCUGCCUUGUCCCCAUCAUCUGUUCUCCCGUCAACAGCCAAAGCACAUCACUGCUCUGCCCCAACCCUCCUAUGUCUUCCAGUCUCCUCAGCAUCUCAUGUGAGCUCUGAGCCUCUCAGUCUCAGGUCUCACCUCCUACUUCUGCCUCACUUCCACCUUUUCAGCCCUUUGAGACUGCUCCCAUCCAGGGUCUGGCCCUACCGGCCCCUCACCUCCCCCAGGUAGCCACAGGGCUCCCUGCCUGGGUCCUUUAACCUUGGCUUAAAGGGCACUAUCCCCUAGAGGCCCUCCCUGACCCCCAGUGGAAAGCUGCACUCCUCGCCCGUCACACGCCAUGUCCCAACACUCUCACCCAGUUCUGUUUUUCACCUUGGCACUUCUC
rnacentral:lncRNA from 1 species